AUUGAACGCUGGCGGCAUGCCUUACACAUGCAAGUCGAACGGUAACAGGUUAAGCUGACGAGUGGCGACCGGGUGAGUAAUGUAUCGGAACGUGCCCAGUCGUGGGGGAUAACUGCUCGAAAGAGCAGCUAAUACCGCAUACGACCUGAGGGCGAAAGCGGGGGCUUGCAAGCCCUCGCGCGAUUGGAGCGGCCGAUAUCAGAUUAGGUAGUUGGUGAGGUAAAGGCUCACCAAGCCGACGAUCUGUAGCUGGUCUGAGAGGAAGACCAGCCACACUAGGACUGAGACACGGCCCAGACUCCGACGGGAGGCAGCAGUGGGGAAUUUUGGACAAUGGGCGCAAGCCUGAUCCAGCCAUGCCGCGUGCGGGAAGAAGGCCUUCGGGUUGUAAACCGCUUUUGUCAGGGAAGAAAAGGUUCUGGCUAAUACCUGGGAAUCAUGACGGUACCUGAAGAAUAAGCACCGGCUAACUACGUG
rnacentral:rRNA from 1 species